rnacentral:rRNA from 1 species
UACGUAGGGUGCAAGCGUUGUCCGGAAUCAUUGGGCGUAAAGCGCGUGUAGGCGGCUUGAUAAGUCUGCUCUGAAAGCCCGGGGCUCAACCCUGGGAGGCGGGUGGAUACUGUCGAGCUCGAGUCCGGAAGAGGCGAGUGGAAUUCCUGGUGUAGCGGUGAAAUGCGCAGAUAUCAGGAGGAACACCAAUGGCGAAGGCGGCGCGCUGGGACGGUACUGACGCUGAGACGCGAAAGCGUGGGGAGCAAACAGG